rnacentral:rRNA from 1 species
GACGAACGCUGGCGGCGUGCUUAACACAUGCAAGUCGAGCGGUAAGGCCCUUUCGGGGGUACACGAGCGGCGAACGGGUGAGUAACACGUGGGUGACCUGCCCUCAGCUCUGGGAUAAGCCUGGGAAACCGGGUCUAAUACCGGAUAUGACUCCAUGACGCAUGUUGUGGGGUGGAAAGCCUUGUGCGGCUGAGGAUGGGCCCGCGGCCUAUCAGCUUGUUGGUGGGGUGAUGGCCUACCAAGGCGACGACGGGUAGCCGGCCUGAGAGGGCGACCGGCCACACUGGGACUGAGACACGGCCCAGACUCCUACGGGAGGCAGCAGUGGGGAAUCUUGCGCAAUGGGCGAAAGCCUGACNCAGCGACGCCGCGUGAGGGAUGACGGCCUGU